UGGGGAAUAUUGCACAAUGGGCGCAAGCCUGAUGCAGCCAUGCCGCGUGUAUGAAGAAGGCCUUCGGGUUGUAAAGCACUUUCAGCGGGGAGGAAGGCGUUAAGGUUAAUAACCUUGGCGAUUGACGUUACCCGCAGAAGAAGCACCGGCUAACUCCGUGCCAGCAGCCGCGGUAAUACGGAGGGUGCAAGCGUUAAUCGGAAUUACUGGGCGUAAAGCGCACGCAGGCGGUCUGUCAAGUCGGAUGUGAAAUCCCCGGGCUCAACCUGGGAACUGCAUCUGAUACUGGCAAGCUUGAGUCUCGUAGAGGGGGGUAGAAUUCCAGGUGUAGCGGUGAAAUGCGUAGAGAUCUGGAGGAAUACCGGUGGCGAAGGCGGCCCCCUGGACGAAGACUGACGCUCAGGUGCGAAAGCGUGGGGAGCAAACAGG
rnacentral:rRNA from 1 species